AGAUCGCUACAGAUGUAGCUGCUAGGGGGCUGGAUAUUCCAGAUGUUGAAGUUGUAAUUAACUACAGCUUCCCGUUGACCACAGAGGAUUAUGUCCACAGAAUUGGAAGAACGGGUCGGGCUGGUAAAAAAGGCGUUGCACACACUUUCUUCAUGAAGGAGAAUAAGGCACUUUCUGGUGAGCUGAUAAAUGUUCUUCGAGAAGCAGGACAGAAUGUACCGACAAACCUUUUGAAUUUCGGAACUCAUGUUAAGAAAAAGGAGUCGAAGCUCUACGGAGCCCAUUUCAAAGAAAUUUCUGCAGAUGCACCUAAGGCCACCAAGAUUACAUUCGACUCUGACAAUGAAGAUUAACUGCAAAAUUUUGACCAAAAAUCAUAUGUUUUUAUUGUAAUCUUUGGAUAAUUUUGAUUAAACUCAUAUUACUAUUGCAAUUGUCUGUUUACUUGAUAGUAUUUUAUAUAAUUAUCUAGUCUUCUUAA